CCUACGGGUGGCUGCAGUGGGGAAUAUUGGGCAAUGGGCGCAAGCCUGACCCAGCAACGCCGCGUGAAGGAAGAAGGCUUUCGGGACGUAAACUUCUUUUCUGAGGGACGAAGAUAGUGACGGUACCGCAGGAAUAAGCCACGGCUAACUACGUGCCAGCAGCCGCGGUAAUACGUAGGUGGCAAGUGUUAUCCGGAUUUAUUGGGGGUAAAGGGCGUGUAGGCGGGAAAGCAAGUCAGAUGUGAAAACCCGGGGCUCAACCCUGAGCCUGCAUUUGAAACUGUUUUUCUGGAGUGCUGGAGAGGCAAUCGGAAUUCCGUGUGUAGCGGUGAAAUGCGUAGAUAUACGGAGGAACACCAGUGGCGAAGGCGGAUUGCUGGACAGUAACUGACGCUGAGGCGCGAAAGCGUGGGGAGCAAACAGGAUUAGAUACCCGAGUAGUC
rnacentral:rRNA from 1 species